rnacentral:rRNA from 1 species
AGUGAACGCUGGCGGUAGGCCUAACACAUGCAAGUCGAACGGCAGCACAGUAAGAGCUUGCUCUUACGGGUGGCGAGUGGCGGACGGGUGAGGAAUACAUCGGAAUCUACUUUUUCGUGGGGAUAACGUAGGGAAACUUACGCUAAUACCGCAUACGACCUACGGGUGAAAGCCGGGGAUCUUCGGACCUUGCGCGAUUGAAUGAGCCGAUGUCGGAUUUGCUAGUUGGCGGGGUAAAGGCCCACCCAGGCGACGAUCCGUAGCUGGUCUGAGGGGAUGAUCGGCCACACGGGAACUGAGACACGUUCCAGACUCCUACGGGAGGCAGCAGUGGGGAAUAUUGGACAAGGGGCGCAAGCCUGAUCCAGCCAUACCGCGUGGGUGAAGAAGGCCUUCGGGUUUAAAGCCCUUUUGUUGGGAAAGAAAAGCAGCAGGUUAAUACCCCGCUGUUCUGACGGUACCCAAAGAAUAAGCACCGGCUAACUUCGUG